rnacentral:rRNA from 1 species
GUGGGGAAUCUUCCACAAUGGACGAAAGUCUGAUGGAGCAACGCCGCGUGAGUGAAGAAGGGUUUCGGCUCGUAAAGCUCUGUUGUCGGGGACGAAUGUGCAGUAUUUGAAUAAAGUACUGCAAUGACGGUACCUGACGAGGAAGCCACGGCUAACUACGUGCCAGCAGCCGCGGUAAUACGUAGGUGGCAAGCGUUGUCCGGAAUUAUUGGGCGUAAAGGGAGCGCAGGCGGGAAGGUAAGUCGGUCUUAAAAGUGCGGGGCUCAACCCCGUGAUGGGAUCGAAACUAUCUUUCUUGAGUGCAGGAGAGGAAAGUGGAAUUCCUAGUGUAGCGGUGAAAUGCGUAGAUAUUAGGAGGAACACCAGUGGCGAAGGCGAAUUGCUGGACAGUAACUGACGCUGAGGCGCGAAAGCGUGGGGAGCAAACAGGAUUAGAAACCCCGGUAGUCC